rnacentral:lncRNA from 1 species
CACAGUUUGACAUCAAGAGGAAUGCAAACAGAUGCUUUAUUUUUAGCAUAGUUAUUCUCUCAGGUUGGUGCUAUCUUUCAUCUUGGCUCAAUGAGGUGGGCUUAAAUCUACCUUUCUUCAUGCAGACGCCUGUGUCAGUGCUUGCAGAAUCUCUGCCCUUGUUUGGAAGAAGAGUGCUUUCUGUGAGACUAGGACGUAGUGAAUUGAAGCUUAAGGCUUGUGAUGUACCUACAUCAUGGUAUUCUGCAUUUCUGCCUCUGUGGAGCCAAAAGAGCGUCAGAUUGCCACAUUGCAGUUCAGGGGCUGCUUUUUCGUGGCGUUCCCUCUGCAAGGUACUGCACAGAGUGAAUGUAUGUGGCAGAGGACCAGACUUGAUAUCCCAUGGACAUUUAUGCAUGAAGAUGAACUAUCUCCCAAGUGGCUUCUUUAGGAGGAAAGAAAUCAUGCUUCACAUUCCUGAGCAUGAGCAUGCUGCAGCAUUCCAGAACAGCCAGAUCUACAUUGAUGGUUAUUCACUCACAUCCAGAUUUGGAUAGAUGAAUUCCCCCUGCAAAAUAUCAGAGAAAUGAAGUGAGUAUGUUUGCUCAAGGGGAGAAGCAGAACACUUCAUAGCAGAGUAUCUUAUCCCUUAAGAAAGUUGUCAGUGUUUGAAUACAGCCUUUAGUCACUACUGUGUGGUAUUUAUUUGGGGGUACAAAAUUGUUAAAAAAAAUUUUUUAAAUAUGUUUUUGUUAUUCUCAUAGAAACUGGCAUCCUGGAUGAAGAGAUUUCUUCUAGUACUUCGUCAUGGUGGAGCCACUCUAAAUGGAGUUACAAAUAAAUUUUUGCUGUGGAGCUUAUAUCA